UAAGAUUCAAAGUAGUCACCGGAUGAGUU
rnacentral:piRNA from 1 species